CUUUUAUCACAAUCUUGAAAGGAAAACUUCAAAACCAAUCUGGGGUUGAUCCAGAGAAGCAACAUCGUUUCACCAGACGACACGACAAGCCCCGUGAUGAGCAAGAUGCUAACAUAUAGAUACACCUGGUAUCCUGGCUGAUGGGCAGAGCUGUCGGUGAACAGAAAUCAGCAGGAAGAACACGAAAGACAAGAAUGACGAAGAUGA